CUCGAUCAGAUGCUUCCGCAGAGUGGCGUAUGUGCUGCUCCAGUGCCACAGCAGUGAACAGCAGGCCGCCCCAGAAGAACUACCCUACAGCGACUGGCACCUUCCUUACCUUUGCGGGAGGCAGAGCAUGCUAAUCCCAAGAACAGAGAUCAACCAUGGUCUGAAAAGGGACUUGACAGAAAUCCAAAAACUGUUGGUGGCCAAGCUAUCAAAGGUAAAGGCCCCUGGUGUGUUCAGCGCCCUCCCAACACCUGUCUAAUUCGAGCAUUUACCUGACUCAUUCACCUUCUUAGAAGAAAGAUGCAAAAAGACUAC